GAUGAACGCUGGCGGCGUGCCUAAUACAUGCAAGUCGAGCGAACAGACGAGGAGCUUGCUCCUCUGACGUUAGCGGCGGACGGGUGAGUAACACGUGGAUAACCUACCUAUAAGACUGGGAUAACUUCGGGAAACCGGAGCUAAUACCGGAUAAUAUAUUGAACCGCAUGGUUCAAUAGUGAAAGACGGUUUUGCUGUCACUUAUAGAUGGAUCCGCGCCGCAUUAGCUGGUUGGUAAGGUAACGGCUUACCAAGGCGACGAUGCGUAGCCGACCUGAGAGGGUGAUUGGCCACACUGGAACUGAGACACGGUCCAGACUCCUACGGGAGGCAGCAGUAGGGAAUCUUCCGCAAUGGGCGAAAGCCUGACGGAGCAACGCCGCGUGAGUGAUGAAGGUCUUCGGAUCGUAAAACUCUGUUAUUAGGGAAGAACAAAUGUGUAAGUAACUAUGCACGUCUUGACGGUACCUAAUCAGAAAGCCACGGCUAACUACGUG
rnacentral:rRNA from 1 species